rnacentral:rRNA from 1 species
CAACCUGCCGAUGACUCGGGGAUAGCCUUUCGAAAGAAAGAUUAAUACCCGAUGGCAUAGUUCUUCCGCAUGGUGGAACUAUUAAAGAAUUUCGGUCAUCGAUGGGGAUGCGUUCCAUUAGGUUGUUGGCGGGGUAACGGCCCACCAAGCCUUCGAUGGAUAGGGGUUCUGAGAGGAAGGUCCCCCACAUUGGAACUGAGACACGGUCCAAACUCCUACGGGAGGCAGCAGUGAGGAAUAUUGGUCAAUGGACGAGAGUCUGAACCAGCCAAGUAGCGUGAAGGAUGACUGCCCUAUGGGUUGUAAACUUCUUUUAUACGGGAAUAAAGUGAGGCACGUGUGCCUUUUUGUAUGUACCGUAUGAAUAAGGAUCGGCUAACUCCGUGCCAGCAGCCGCGGUAAUACGGAGGAUCCGAGCGUUAUCCGGAUUUAUUGGGUUUAAAGGGAGCGUAGGCGGACGCUUAAGUCAGUUGUGAAAGUUUGCGGCUCAACCGUAAAAUUGCAGUUGAUACUGGGUGUCUUGAGUACAGUAGAGGCAGGCGGAAUUCGUGGUGUAGCAGUGAAAUGCUUAGAUAUCACGAAGAACUCCGAUUG